rnacentral:rRNA from 1 species
UACGAAGGGGGCUAGCGUUGCUCGGAUUGACUGGGCGUAAAGGGCGCGUAGGCGGUUCGUACAGUCAGACGUGAAAUUCCUGGGCUCAACCUGGGGGCUGCGUUUGAUACGUGCGGACUUGAGUGCGGAAGAGGGUCGUGGAAUUCCCAGUGUAGAGGUGAAAUUCGUAGAUAUUGGGAAAAACACCGGUGGCGAAGGCGGCGACCUGGUCCGAUACUGACGCUGAGGCGCGAAAGCGUGGGGAGCAAACAGG